rnacentral:rRNA from 1 species
UACGGGGGGAGCAAGCGUUGUUCGGAUUUACUGGGCGUAAAGCGUGCGCAGGCGGCGCGUUAAGACAGGUGUGAAAGCCCCGAGCUUAACUUGGGAAUUGCGCUUGUGACUGGCGUGCUGGAGUGUGGCAGAGGGAGGUGGAAUUCCACGUGUAGCAGUGAAAUGCGUAGAGAUGUGGAGGAACACCGAUGGCGAAGGCAGCCUCCUGGGCCAGCACUGACGCUCAUGCACGAAAGCGUGGGGAGCAAACAGG